GGCCGACUUUGUCUUCGACACCGUCUGGUCGUGGGAUCUUUAUGAAGGCGUCUAUAUCACCCACUGCUGGAAUGUAGUCGGGAAUAAAUGACGGCUGUCGAAUCCUUGGAGGAAUAUUCAUUUAUUGAGAUACUUCCAAAUUCUAUUCAAUUGCAAGGAGAUAAUGUAUCAACGGAUUAAAAAAUGAUACCUCAUUAUGUUUUGAAAUAAUUCCUUCACUUCGGUUGACACUUCUAGAUCCUCAAAAUCCUUGGGAUUGUAAAUUUCAAUGGGCUGAGCGUUAUUUGUCCCCUGGAUGUCAUCAUCAUCGCUCUCUUCACUGUCCGAUGGAUCACUAUGGAUUCCUAUGGAUUUUCCAAAGUUAUUAUCACUGCCUGAAUAUCUGCAAACAAUUUUCAUUUCUAAUUGUAUUAUUAUAUUUAUGCUGAAAAUAUUCUGGGAAUAUCCAGUGUACCUUCGAAAAUUGAAUUUUUCACGAGGUGAAUUAAU